UACGGGGGGGCAAGCGUUGUUCGGAAUUACUGGGCGUAAAGGGCUCGUAGGCGGCCAACUAAGUCAUACGUGAAAUCCCUCGGCUUAACCGGGGAACUGCGUCUGAUACUGGAUGGCUUGAGUUCGGGAGAGGGAUGCGGAAUUCCAGGUGUAGCGGUGAAAUGCGUAGAUAUCAGGAAGAACACCUAUGGCGAAGGCAGCUCUCUGGGACGGUACUGACGCUGAGACGCGAAAGCGUGGGGAGCGAACAGG
rnacentral:rRNA from 1 species